rnacentral:lncRNA from 1 species
UAGUCUGUCCUCUUUGAUCCACUAUUAUUCUCUAGCUAAGACAGUAACUCCCAAAGUCUGCAGAAGCUUCAUAGAAAUGGCAGAGAAACAAUGCAGGAAGACUUUGUGAAGAUCAUUUUUUGUGAUCAGUGAGAAAUCGAGACAGGAGUCCCAAAGAUGAGGAAGGUCGGUGGCAGGAGUGGAACAUGCUUCGGUUCCCUGAAGGCUCAGGGAAGGGGACGAUGUGUAAUUUAUGACCCAGUGAGAGGCAGGAUAGGUUUUCUUUCGAUUUCUGUGGGAGGCAGGCCUGGUGCCUCAGGAGUUUACUCCGAACACUGGAGGUGCUGGCUUGCCUCCAUCCGUGGGUCUCUAAUGCCUCCGUUCUUUCAUUCCUCUCACUAACACAAGAAGAGCCAACUAGAAAAUGCUCCAACCUGAGGGUUAAAGUUUCUUGGCUAAGAUGCUAAUCCUUCCAGAGGGUUUUCUCUAGAAUUAAUGUCUACAGAGUUUGCCCUGAGACCACCAUCCACCGCGCUGCUUUUGCCCCACAGCUGAACUAAUGGCAGCAGCAAAAUCACCAGCACAUCCUGGGAGGGUCUGUGGCCUGGUAGAGUUGAAGAAAAGCAGUGCCCCUUUGCCCGUAGUUGUGAGGAGAUGACUUACAUUAGGAAAUAGGAGGUGACCAUGAGGAACCUGGGCAGUAAGACCAGCUGUCCCUGUAGCUGUGAUCAGAAAAGUGUAAGCCUUAGCUUACUGAUGG